CAGUCGCCGCGGGAAUACGUAGGGUGCAAGCGUUAAUCGGAAUUACUGGGCGUAAAGCGUGCGCAGGCGGUUAUGCAAGACAGAUGUGAAAUCCCCGGGCUCAGCCUGGGAACUGCAUUUGUGACUGCAUGACUAGAGUACGGCAGAGGGGGAUGGAAUUCCGCGUGUAGCAGUGAAAUGCGUAGAUAUGCGGAGGAACACCGAUGGCGAAGGCAAUCCCCUGGGCCUGUACUGACGCUCAUGCACGAAAGCGUGGGGAGCAAACAGGAUUAGAUACCCCUGUAGUCCCUGUCUCUUAUAC
rnacentral:rRNA from 1 species